CCUACGGGGGGCAGCAGUGAGGAAUAUUGGUCAAUGGCCGGAAGGCUGAACCAGCCAUGCCGCGUGAAUGUCAGUGCCCUAUGGGCGUUAAACUUCUUUUGUGCGGGAGCAAUAAUGGUCACGUGUGGCCAGACGAGAGUACCGUACGAAUAAGCAUCGGCUAACUCCGUGCCAGCAGCCGCGGUAAUACGGGGGAUGCAAGCGUUAUCCGGGUUUAUUGGGUUUAAAGGGUGCGUAGGCUGGGAGGUAAGUCAGCGGUGAAAUGCCCCCGGUCAACGGGGGGAAGUGCCAUUGAUACUGCCUGGCUGGAAUGCGGAUGCCGUGGGAGGAAUGUGUGGUGUAGCGGUGAAAUGCAUAGAUAUCACACAGAACACCGAUUGCGAAGGCAUCUCACGAAUCCGCGAUUGACGCUGAUGCACGAAAGCGUGGGUAUCAAACAGGAUUAGAUACCCUGGUAGUC
rnacentral:rRNA from 1 species